AUUCCGACUCUUCAAUUUCAGUUAUAAACUUUAUAAUCACAUAUAUUCGACAUACGACUAAUUCGACUUACGCCUUGCUUUGGGACAUUUUUUCGGUCCCAAAUACAGUCGUAUAUCGGGGGACACCUGUACAGUGGAGCGCCGUUUAUUCGGUACCUUUUAUCCGGCUAUACAGGUUACGUCAAAAGCCCGUUUUGGCCGAUUUCCAAUAAAAAAAUGAAUGAAAAUUUUGACAGACAAAUUGGAAUGGUUUGUUUACAAUUGGACUGGUUUGUUUACAAUUUGACUGGAUUGCAAUCGUGCAAUGGUAUGGUGUUUGGUGUUGAAGCUUGUAAUUUUUAAGUUAUUUAAUUAUUUUGUGAUUAUUAAUUUUAUGAUGAAUUAAUAGCUGUGGCAACGGAGAAAUCGACUAAGUGAGAUUCCAGUAAAAAUAUGCUUUCGUUGUCGUGAAAAGAUCCAACAUGAAGGAGUUUAAGAUUGUGUCAGGGAAAAGGAUUACAUCGAGCAAGUGGAGAAUUAAUGUGAAAUCAUUCGCUUCUCAGCAUUACCAGCAUUACGGACAAGGAGAUAAACAAGCGUGUGAAGUACACAGCUAGAAAGCAUAUGUUGGAGGGAAAAUGUAUGCUGUUUUUGGAACUUGCACGAUGUCUCAGGUGGGUGUGCAGUGCAGACACAGUUUUACCUUACGAGUUUCUUUUCCGUCCAACAACAGUAAAGUAUAUAUGGAGAGGGAGGGGUGCAAUGUGCCGUACUUUCCCAAAGUAAUCACUGUUCGUAAUAGGUGAGGAAUAUUAUCAUGCCUGGCUGUUGCACAGUAUCCAUUGGGAUGAGGUCUAACUCCCUCGAGGCUAACGGACGAUGUCCCAUUCCGCCCUACUGCAACAUACCCAAGCGCCACAGAUUAAGCUUAAACGACUGGAAAAUUGAAUAUCCAUAGAAAAAAAAUGAAAGCUCCACAGCUUCAUUGGUUUGAUCAAUAGAUGGCGUAUUAAAACUAAUCAUUAUAUUGCUAUCCUUUU